rnacentral:rRNA from 1 species
GAUGAACGCUGGCGGCGUGCCUAAUACAUGCAAGUCGAGCGAACGGACGAGAAGCUUGCUUCUCUGAUGUUAGCGGCGGACGGGUGAGUAACACGUGGAUAACCUACCUAUAAGACUGGGAUAACUUCGGGAAACCGGAGCUAAUACCGGAUAAUAUUUUGAACCGCAUGGUUCAAAAGUGAAAGACGGUCUUGCUGUCACUUAUAGAUGGAUCCGCGCUGCAUUAGCUAGUUGGUAAGGUAACGGCUUACCAAGGCAACGAUGCAUAGCCGACCUGAUAGGGUGAUCGGCCACACUGGAACUGAGACACGGUCCAGACUCCUACGGGAGGCAGCAGUAAGGAAUCUUCCGCAAUGGGCGAAAGCCUGACGGAGCAACGCCGCGUGAGUGAUGAAGGUCUUCGGAUCGUAAAACUCUGUUAUUAGGGAAGAACAUAUGUGUAAGUAACUGUGCACAUCUUGACGGUACCUAAUCAGAAAGCCACGGCUAACUACGUG